CCUACGGGAGGCAGCAGUGGGGAAUAUUGGACAAUGGGGGCAACCCUGAUCCAGCCAUGCCGCGUGUGUGAAGAAGGCCCUCGGGUUGUAAAGCACUUUCAGUGAGGAAGAACGCCUGGUGGUUAAUACCCAUCAGGAAAGACAUCACUCACAGAAGAAGCACCGGCUAACUCCGUGCCAGCAGCCGCGGUAAUACGGAGGGUGCGAGCGUUAAUCGGAAUUACUGGGCGUAAAGCGCGCGUAGGUGGCUUGAUAAGCCGGUUGUGAAAGCCCCGGGCUCAACCUGGGAACGGCAUCCGGAACUGUCAAGCUAGAGUGCAGGAGAGGAAGGUAGAAUUCCCGGUGUAGCGGUGAAAUGCGUAGAGAUCGGGAGGAAUACCAGUGGCGAAGGCGGCCUUCUGGACUGACACUGACACUGAGGUGCGAAAGCGUGGGUAGCAAACAGGAUUAGAUAUCCGGGUAGUC
rnacentral:rRNA from 1 species